GUUUUUUUUCAGGCGCACAAUUUCAUAAGGUUUGAAAAGUGAACGUUGUGCGAGAUUUGUGCUCGCGUGGUCCUGUACGCGCAACCAAAAUUUAGUGACA